rnacentral:rRNA from 1 species
AACGUAGGAGGCAAGCGUUAUCCGGAUUUACUGGGCGUAAAGCGUGUGCAGGCGGUUGUCCAAGUCGUGUCUGAAAGCGCUCCGCUUAACGGGGCGAGGCUAGACGAGACUGGGCGACUAGAAUCAGACAGAGGCAAGCGGAAUUCCGGGUGUAGUGGUGAAAUGCGUAGAGAUGUGGAGGAACACCGAUGGCGAAGGCAGCCCCCUGGGCUAACACUGACGCUCAGGCACGAAAGCGUGGGGAGCAAACAGG